CGUUCACAGGCUCAACACGAACUCCAAAGGACUUUCGUUAUUCAUUGCGACAUGCAGGUGCGGUAGCAAAUGAUUUACUCUGCGACUGGAUCGUACGGAGGAACGUAUAUAUAAUAAUAACCCAGUCUGUCUCGUGUCUCCUUGACUGUGCAAUAUCUAGAAAAUGGAGGCGAUGGCGAGGUUCGUACUCUCUGCUCUUCUCCUCGUAUCUGCAUUCCUGGUGGAAGUGCAAGCUUGCGGACCUGGAGGCGAGUUCAACGAAUGUGGCAGUUCGUGCCCUGAAGUGUGCGGCCAGCCUCCCCCCAAGUUCUGUAAUUUCAUGUGCGUCCCGGGAUGCAUCUGCAAACCGGGUUUCGUCUUGAGCCGAAUCGGAGGUACUUGCAUUUCCAGAUCUGGCUGUCCUGUCUUCGAAUGAGUACCAGUUGCAUUCCUCAACACUAGAAGUGUAUGGAUCCUACGUGGGCAAUAAAACUGCAUUCAGUAUUUUGA